UUUUUAUUUAACAAAUCUGGCAACACAGAAGACACGAACUGAAAGAAAACAAGUGGCAGCAUGUCACAACAAGCUUUAGCAUAACUGACACGACCACCAGUUGAACUGUGAUUAAAUGCAGAUGUCCUAGUUUGUAAGUAAAAGAAGAAUACUUAUGACUUGUUUCUGUCAAAGAAAUCAAGCUAUGCUAGUACUGAAUGGAAGUUUCACUUUCUGUAGGAAGUGCAAAUUACGCAGGCAAACGUGAACGAACAGCUGUGGAUGGAAAUCUCUAUGUCGGAAUGCGAUCUUUUCAAGAGGAAUUUUAAUAGCACCCUGAUACAAUGAAGAGAUAUUUGGAGCAAUUUGGAAGUUUUAAUUUCAACCUAAAGGAAGGUCAAUUAGGAGAAUUAAGCAAAGUCGAAGAACCAGAAUUAAAGAAACAACUUGGAUCAAGAAGUAUGAUCCUAAUUAUAUGAAGUAUAGAUUCGCCAUGAAAUUCGGAACAGAAACUGAACCUAUUCCACAGUGCGUAAUCUGUUUUGAGUGCUUAUCAAACAGGACUACGAAGCCAGCUCUUUUGAAAAGGUAUUUCUAUAGCAAACAUUCGAGUGCAAAAGACAAAACUCUUGACUUUUUAAAAAGAAAACGUUCAGAGGUUUGCCCUCAAAAAUCAGUUGUCAAAACUUUGAGUAGUAUAAACAGUAAUUAUGUGAAAGCAUCAUAUUUAGCUAUUUUGCAUAUAGCUAAGUGCGGAAAACCACAUACAGUUGUAAGGUUUCCCUUAUUUUGCAUACAAAAUUUAUUUUAAGUUUGAUACCUUUACUGAACUUCUCAACUUCCCCUCAAAUUCCAUCGCCAGGCAUUAUUAUAUGUAUCAUAAAUUAAAAUUGUAAAUUGUAUUACGAAGUGCGUAUUUAACGGGUGAAUGUCUGAGUUUAUGCAGAGCGUGUUGUCGUUAGCCAGCGCACGUUUCGUUGUUAUGCUAGUCAGCCUCUUGGCAUUUCGGAUUAUCAUCACGCCUGUUAGGUUUUUGUGAGUCAAUCUGUUAGGCUUAACUUACGUGCUAUCCAGCACUACUUAUUUUAGAUUUUUGACUUGAAUUAUAUUCUACGAUUUUUAUUUCACCGCAAGUUUGACGGUGCCAUUGGUAACGCACGAAUAUCGUGCCUUUCUGUAAACUAUUUAAAUUUAAUAAAGGGUUACUUUCCCCCUUCUUCUGUGCUGGUAUUUAUUCGCGCUUGUGCGAGAAUUCGCCAGGUUCAUUAUAGGAUCUAAUUUCGUUUACGUGAGAAAAGAGAGAACGACCCUACAUAGUGAAGCAUUUUUGAUGCCAGCAACAAAGAAUAUAAUUGCAUCUGUCCUUGGAGAGAAAGCGACUAAAGAAAUUGACAAAGUACACUUUUACUUCACACCGAAGUACGGUGAUUGUUACGUGGUAAAGUCCUCAGUCGAUUAUUUGAGUUACGCGAUGACAUUUAUAUGUUUUUGACCAAUUCAAAAUAUUCCAACGGAGAUAAUUUAAUUGAUGAGCGAUGGUUGUGAAGACUAGCACACCUUCCAGACAUUUUUCAAGAUUCAAUGAACUAAAUUUGAGUUUGCAAGGAGUUAACAAUUCUGUGUUCGACUUGCAUGACAAAAUAAGUGCGUUCAAGAGAAAACUGCAAUCAGAUCUCUUCUUUAAACUGACAAACAUUGAGCUCGAAAUUACUUCUUUAGUUAAUAAUAAACAGGCUCAACCUUCUCACUAGUUACAUACGUUUUAAACUAAUUAUUAUAUUUUAUGUAGAUGUUUAGCAAUAAAAAUACAUCAAAAG